UACAGAGGUUCCAAGCGUUAGGCGGAAUCACUGGGCUUAAAGCGCGUGUAGGCGGGUCGUUAAGUGUCCGAGUGAAAUCCCACGGCUCAACCGUGGAACUGCCGGGCAUACUGGCGAUCUUGAGGCAUUCAGGGGCGAGCGGAACAAAUGGUGGAGCGGUGAAACGCGUAGAUAUCAUUUGGAACGCCAAUGGUGAAAACAGCUCGCUGGGAAUGAUCUGACGCUGAGACGCGAAAGCCAGGGGAGCGAACGGG
rnacentral:rRNA from 1 species